rnacentral:rRNA from 1 species
ACCGGCGGCUCGAGUGGUGGCCACUAUUACUGGGCUUAAAGCGUUCGUAGCUGGCUUGUUAAGUCUCUGGGGAAAUCUUCCGGCUCAACCGGAAGGCGUCUCAGGGAUACUGGCAGGCUAGGGACCGGAAGAGGUGAGAGGUACUCCAGGGGUAGGAGUGCAAUCCUGCGAUCCCUGGGGGACCACCUGUGGGGAGGGCGACCCACCAGGACUGCACCGACAGUGAGGAACGAAAGCUAGUAAAGCAAACAG